rnacentral:rRNA from 1 species
UACGGAGGGUGCAAGCGUUAAUCGGAAUUACUGGGCGUAAAGCGCGCGCAGGCGGUCCUUCAAGUCAGAGGUGAAAGCCCAGAGCUCAACCUGGGAACUGCAUCUGUGACUGUAUAGCUAGAGUACGGUAGAGGGGGAUGGAAUUCCGCGUGUAGCAGUGAAAUGCGUAGAUAUGCGGAGGAACACCGAUGGCGAAGGCAAUCCCCUGGACCUGUACUGACGCUCAUGCACGAAAGCGUGGGGAGCAAACAGG